rnacentral:rRNA from 1 species
UACGUAGGGCGCAAGCGUUAUCCGGAAUAUUGGGCGUAAAGAGCUCGUAGGCGGUUUGUCGCGUCUGCCGUGAAAGUCCGGGCUCAACUCCGGAUCUGCGGUGGGUACGGGCAGACUAGAGUGAUGUAGGGAGACUGGAAUUCCUGGUGUAGCGGUGAAAUGCGCAGAUAUCAGGAGGAACACCGAUGGCGAAGGCAGGUCUCUGGGCAUUAACUGACGCUGAGGAGCGAAAGCAUGGGGAGCGAACAGG